CCUACGGGAGGCAGCAGUGAGGAAUAUUGGUCAAUGGGCGGAAGCCUGAACCAGCCAAGUCGCGUGAGGGAUUAAGGCCCUGCGGGUCGUAAACCUCUUUUGCCGAGGAGCAGUGGUCCGGACGAGUCCGGGCCGGGAGAGUACCCGGAGAAAAAGCAUCGGCUAAAUCCGUGCCAGCAGCCGCGGUAAUACGGAGGAUGCGAGCGUUAUCCGGUUUUAUUGGGUUUAAAGGUUUCGUAGGCGGAUUUUUAAGUCAGCGGUAAAAUGUCCGGGCUCAACCCGGGCCGGCCGUUGAAACUGGGGAUCUUGAGUGGGCGAGAAGGAUGCGGAAUGCGUGGUGUAGCGGUGAAAUGCAUAGAUAUCACGCAGAACUCCGAUUGCGAAGGCAGCAUACCGGCGCCCGACUGACGCUGAGGCACGAAAGCGUGGGGAUCGAACAGGAUUAGAUGCCCUUGUAGUC
rnacentral:rRNA from 1 species